AUUGAACGCUGGCGGCAUGCCUUACACAUGCAAGUCGAACGGUAACAGGUCUUCGGAUGCUGACGAGUGGCGAACGGGUGAGUAAUACAUCGGAACGUGCCUAGUAGUGGGGGAUAACUACUCGAAAGAGUGGCUAAUACCUCAUGAGAUCUACGGAUGAAAGCAGGGGAUCGCAAGACCUUGUGCUACUAGAGCGGCCGAUGGCAGAUUAGGUAGUUGGUGGGAUAAAAGCUUACCAAGCAGACGAUCUGUAGCUGGUCUGGGAGGAGGAUCAGCCAAAGUGGGACUGAGACACGGCCAAGACUCCUACGGGAGGCAGCAGUGGGGAAUUUUGGACAAUGGGCGAAAGCCUGAUCCAGCAAUGCCGCGUGCAGGAUGAAGGCCUUCGGGUUGUAAACUGGUUUUGUACGGAACGAAAAGCCCCGGGUUAAUACCCUGGGGUCAUGACGGUACCGUAAGAAUAAGCACCGGCUAACUACGUGCCAGCCGCCGCGGUAA
rnacentral:rRNA from 1 species